UGGGGAAUAUUGCUCAAUGGGCGAAAGCCUGAAGCAGCGACGCCGCGUGAACGAAGAAGUCCUUCGGGAUGUAAAGUUCUUUCGCCAGGGAAAAUAAUGAUGGUACCUGGAGAAGAAGGCCCGGCUAACUAUGUGCCAGCAGCCGCGGUAAUACAUAGGGGCCAAGCGUUAUCCGGAUUUAUUGGGCGUAAAGCGCGUGUAGGUGGCUGACUAAGUCAGGCGUUAAAUCUAGAAGCUCAACUUCUAAUCGCGUCUGAAACUGGUCGGCUUCGAGGUCGGGAGAGGAUAGUGGAACUCACAGUGUAGCGGUGAAAUGCGUAGAUAUUGUGAGGAACACCAGUGGCGAAGGCGACUAUCUGGACCGAAUCUGACGCUGAGACGCGAAAGCGUGGGGAGCAAACAGG
rnacentral:rRNA from 1 species